rnacentral:rRNA from 1 species
UACAGAGGGUGCAAGCGUUAAUCGGAAUUACUGGGUCGUAAAGCGUGCGUAGACGGUUACAUAAGUCGGGUGUGAAAGGCCCCGGGCUCAACCUGGGAAUUGCAUUCGAGACUGCGUAGCUAGGGUGCGGAAGAGGGAAGCGGAAUUCCUGGUGUAGCGGUGAAAUGCGCAGAUAUCAGGAAGAACACCCGUGGCGAAGGCGGCUCGCUGGGCCACACCUGACGCUGAGACGCGAAAGCUAGGGGAGCGAACAGG